rnacentral:sRNA from 1 species
CCUGGAAUCAAGUUGCAAACACGAUCCUCAAUAGUAAUCAGAGCUAAGCGGCAAUUACAGGACGUAUGAUUUGUGCAGAAGCACUGCCUGCCGGCUGUUUCCUAGCACCACAUUUCACAGGAGCACCAGGUUGAGAUGAUGGAAUUAUUUACUUUUAAAUGUAACAUCUCGUACAAUGCUCAAAUGCAGACGUGAACGUGGACUGUAACCUUAAAAACAAAGGCAGUACAUGCAACACUACUACCCUUCCUGCUCUUGUGCGCACACCUACCCUGAUGAUGCAGCCUUCACUGGAUAUCAAACCAUUUAUGUCUUUUCCAGUGGACAGUAGUUCUGCUGUUGGGCUCUUUCCAAAUUUUAACACAAUGGAUCCUGUGCAAAAAGCGGUUAUUAACCAUACAUUUGGAGUAUCCAUUCCCCCAAAGAAGAAACAAGUUAUUUCUUGUAAUGUCUGUCAGCUUCGCUUUAAUUCAGAUAAGAUAAAGGGAAGUCAAAAGCCAGCAGUUCCAGUCAGCCAUCAAGUUCUGAAAGUGGCUCAUUUCUCCUCAAAUCUGGCACAACACCCCUACCACCUGGAGCAGCCACUUCUCCCUCCAAGAGCACAAAUGGAGCUCCCGGUACUGUUGUUGAAUCAGAAGAAGAAAAAGCCAAAAAAUUACUUUAUUGUUCACUAUGCAAAGUGGCUGUGAACUCCCUGUCACAGCUAGAGGCACACAACACAGGAUCUAAACACAAGACCAUGGUUGAAGCUCGUAAUGGGGCUGGUCCAAUUAAAUCCUAUCCUAGACCUGGAUCAAGAUUAAAGAUGCAGAAUGGCAGUAAGGGGUCAGGACUACAGAACAA